rnacentral:rRNA from 1 species
CAGUCGUACCUGCGAAUAAUCAGCCUUUCGGGUGCGAUUCUGUGGGGCGUGAGGAGCUUAACCGCCUUCAUGUAUUGCAUAUUCGUGCACUAUUUGGUGUACUUGGUCCGUGUGGUGGGUUAACAUCAAUUUCGGUCGUCAUAAAAUGAUUGGAGGAUGUAGCUUGAUCUCGUAUCGUAA